UGCGGGAAUUGGGGGGGACGGGGGGUCUCCGGUCCCGGGAGAAGGUGCCGGGCGGCCCCUCGCCCCGCAGAGGGACGGCGGAACCGCCCCGUCCAGGAGGACCCUUUCCCUCACCGGGGGAAGCCAUCACCGCUGCCUCUGCUCGCAGGGCUGUGAGUGUUUUGGAAAAAGAUGUCAGAAGGGCAAUGCGAAGUUAAGGAGCUUCAUGUAGACCACUUAAAAGAAGUUCACGUUGAUGGAAAAGAGGGGGGUAUCCCGUGUAACACGAUAUAGGAUCAACAUGCCCACUUGUGGAUACACCUAUUUGUCGGUGUCCACGUAUGAAAAUCACAAGAGGUAAGACAACAAUCUACAGCCACCUCUUCCUCUCUUCUGUGGUCUGACAUCUGGUUUGGGCCACACUUUGAGGGGAUGAAAAACGACUAACAAGAUGCCAAAGGAAAAAGAUACUAAAAUGCAAAACAUUUUUAUGGACUGGAACUAAACCCAGCAUACCCCCCCUCUCUUGACUCCAGCAGCCACAUGUUCUGAUCUUACCUCUCGGGUUUUUUCCAGUCAGAAGAAAUACUGUGUUUACUGUAGACCACCAGGGGCUGAGGUGGCUGUUCAGAGAAUUUCACAUGGAAAAUCUCAAAGCGUGUUGUGCAUGGGGGGGACAAUCCUCACCGACCACCCUGGGGAACGUGGAGAGGGUCCCAUCACAUCUUCUGCGGUGUGUUUGUGCAGGCUGGAGACACUGAGACACGGGAGGGGAGGCACAGGAGAGGAGGUCGGGGAGCUCUGUGGCCCCAGGUAUCCCGAACUCACGCCUGAUCCAAGGUCAUUUAUUGCAGCUGGAACCAGGACUAAGAGUCUCUGGGCUGAGCUCUGUGCUCAUGAAGCCCACCCAGGUCUCGAUCCAAGAAGAUGCUCUGCUGGAGAAGCCAGCAGUGGAACCAUAAAGAGGAAUUCUCAUACAAUAUUAUCGAUGCACAGAAUAAGGGAUUGCAUUUCUGCAAUUUUUAUCAUUCCAGAUUAAGGAGGGAUCAUUUAACGUCCAAAAAUCAGGAAUUUGCGGGUGGGUUCUAGACAAUGAUUUUGGUCAUUCAGUGGUCAUACGUGACUCAUUGAAACUCAAAGUAAGAAAGAGUUGACUUGUGUAGGUUUUCAGCUUAGAAGGAGUGAUCAGGAUGAGAAAUUGUUAAAAUAUCUUGCUCAGACAUUUUCACACGGAAUACCUUUUUCCUUUAAAAAUGCUGUUACAGGUACCAGAAAGUGACCUAUAAUAAAAAUGUAUAAAGGCUAACAUAAAAGGAAAUGUUCAGAAUGUGUCUCCGUGUUUUUGCUGGGGUAAGUCUACUUCACCAUAUUUUCAGUUUACAAGUAUUUCUUCAAGUGCUGCCUUUUCACGGUGAUUUAGGAUGGGAAUACUUUUGGCCACAAAAAAUUGUUCUGGUCAGAAAAGCCCUUCUUUGUUCCUAGUCCACCAUGGUCAUUCUGUUUCUUCUGCUUGGUCACAGCAUUGGAGUAAAGCAAGAAAUCAUUGUAAACAGAAACUCCUUUAACACCAGGUGCCCUCUCCCAACCUCAGAUCAAUCACACGAUGUGCAAUUAAACUGUCAUCCUAAGACACAGGGCUACAGGGACGAGAAAACGCUGAAACCCAAACCCCAACAACCUUAAGAACUGACAGGGGUUCAAAUUUGCCACACAUUUAUGACACCUGCAUUUUGCCUCACAGUUUUGAUAUUGCCAGCCGUUUGCAGGGGCUGUAUGUGUUACGCUGGAGGAAUGCUCUGUCCUUCAUCAACGGACCUCUUUUCUGUUUCCCAGUGUUUCUGCAGGAGGAGGGAAGGGCAUGUCCACCCCAUCAUGAGCCUGGUGCUUCCCUCUGCUGCGCAGCCAAGACAAAGCACGGGUGUGCAGAAACUGUCUCCUGAGGUCCUGGUCUACUGAAAUGUUUCUGUGGGCCCCUCUGGAGUGUGCCGCCCUGGCAUCAACACUGUGUGUAAGAUAAAUCUUAUAAAAAGAUCCAUGGUAGAUGGGUUGCCCCUCUAUGAAACCCAAAUGUUUCAGGGACACAGGCAAAAAGGUGACAAAGCAUUUCCUGAGCUGGGGAGAGGUAAACAUGACUUCACCUGGGGAACAGCUUCUCUGCACCGUGCUGGGAUGAGAUCCCUUAGCAGGGACAUUUGGUAUACGUGUCUGUUUUCACACCUCGUAUGAAAGAAGCUGGGCUCCUUGGACACAGCCAAAGCAGGAAAGAAUAUGUGUUAUGGAGCAGUGUUCAAAAUGCUGUUUUCUGGGAGAAAACCAAUCAGACCUCUACAAAGGAGCACGCUGCUGUGAUUCCUUCUGCCGUCUAACAGGCCAGCAGGAGACACCUCUUGUGCACCCUCUAGUGGAAGUUCUCCACAACUACACCGUCACAACCCAGAGACCAUGUGCAGCAGGGACAAUGGCUGUGAUACUCACCCCCUUCAAAUAGCACUGAAACUCUCUCCUGGCCUGUCCCUGUGCCCAGAUUGUUGUCAUUUUAAGGACAGGAUCUUUUAACUAUCCCUAGAAGGGUUCCUGCUCCUUAGGGGAGGAAAAGGUUAAAAAAAAGGCCAAUCACAUAUCUCCUCCGGUCAGGGACUUCUGUGAGCAUCCUUGGGGACGAGGAUCUCCUGUGCCACUGGCAGUCACGUGGACUGACCCUGGGUUGUCCUGUCCAGCCACCUCUUGUUUACAGGCAGGAUGGGAUGGGUUUGUCUAAGGAGAUUUGCAUUUCCACUAUGUACAGAAUUUAUGGAGCCCUGGAAUACUCGGUUCUCCUACUUGUCUCUGCCAGGGUUAAAUCUCUGUAAGAUGAGGCUCUUCCUUCGCAACUGUGCAUUUCCAUUCCUACCUGAUUUUUCACAAAUUUGGAAAUAUACUAUGUAGCAAUUUUA